rnacentral:rRNA from 1 species
UUCGGAUUUGCUGGCUUAAAGAGUUCGUAGGUGGUUGAAAAGUUGGUGGUGAAAUCCCAGAGCUUAACUCUGGAACUGCCAUCAAAACUUUUCAGCUAGAGUAUGAUAGAGGAAAGCAGAAUUUCUAGUGUAGAGGUGAAAUCCGUAGAUAUUAGAAAGAAUACCAAUUGCGAAGGCAGCUUUCUGGAUCAUUACUGACACUGAGGAACGAAAGCAUGGGUAGCGAAGAGGAUUAGAUACCCUCGUAGUCCAUGCCGUAAACGAUGUGUGUUAGACGUUGGAAAUUUAUUUUCAGUGUCGCAGGGAAACCGGUAAACACACCGCCUGGGGAGUACGACCGCAAGGUUAAAACUCAAAUGAAUUGACGGGGACCCGCACAAGUAGUGGAGCAUGUGGUUUAAUUCGAAGAUACGCGCAGAACCUUACCAACACUUGACAUGUUCGUCGCGACUCUAAGAGAUUAGAGUUUUCGGUUCGGCCGGACGAAACACAGGUGCUGCAUGGCUGUCGUCAGCUCGUGUCGAGAGAUGUUGGGUUAAGUCCCGCAACGAGCGCAACCCUCACUUUUAGUUGCCAUCAUUAAGUUGGGCACUCUGAAAGAACUGCCAGUGAUAAGCUGGAGGAAGGUGGGGAUGACGUCAAGUCCUCAUGGCCCUUACGUGUUGGGCUACACACGUGCUACAAUGGCAUCUACAACAGGAAGCAAAACGGCAACGUUAAGCAAAUCCCGAAAAGAUGCCUCAGUUCGGAUUGCACUCUGCAACUCGAGUGCAUGAAGCUGGAAUUACUAGUAAUCGUGGAUCAGCGUGCCACGGUGAAUGCGUUCCCGGGUCUUGUACACACCGCCCGUCACACCAUGGGAGUUGGUUCUACCUUAAGGCAAGGUUUUAAACCCUUGACCACGGUAUAGUCAGCGACUGGGGUGUAGUCGUAACAAGGUAACCGU